UUUAAGUGUAGUUAUGAGUUUAUAUAUCAACGUUUAACUAUUCGUCUUAUUUGAAUUUUUUAUGGUUAAUAGUUUAUUUGUUAUAGAUGAUAAAAUAUGAAUAGUAUUUCAUACAUGAUUUGUUUUUCUAAUUUAUUCAUAAAUUUAAAUAAGACGGAUGUUUAAAUGACUGAACCCUAUCACUACAUUUAAA
rfam:Oryza rufipogon genomic scaffold, chr08